GUGGGUGUAGCUCAGUCGGUAGAGCACCGGGUUGUGGCCCCGGUUGUCGAGGGUUCAAGUCCCUUCACUCACCCCA
rnacentral:tRNA from 1 species